rnacentral:rRNA from 1 species
GUGUCAGCAGCCGCGGUAAGACGGAGGAGGCAAGCGUUGUCCGGAAUCAUUGGGCGUAAAGAGCGCGUAGGCGGUUUUUCAAGUCGUAUGUGAAAACUUCAGGCUUAACCUGAUGAUUGCAUAUGAAACUGGAUAACUUGAGUACAGCAGAGGAAAGUGGAAUUCCUGGUGUAGCGGUGAAAUGUGCAGAUAUCAGGAAGAACACCAGUAGCGAAGGCGGCUUUCUGGGCUGUUACUGACGCUGAGGCGCGAAAGCUAGGGGAGCGAACAGGAUUAGAUACCCUGGUAGUCCUAGCCGUAAACGAUGGACACUAGGCGUGGGAAGUUAUCGACGCUUUCUGUGCCGAAGCUAACGCAUUAAGUGUCCCGCCUGGGGAGUACGGCCGCAAGGCUAAAACUUAAAGGAAUUGACGGGG